rnacentral:rRNA from 1 species
GACGAACGCUGGCGGCGUGCUUAACACAUGCAAGUCGAGCGGUAAGGCCCUUUCGGGGGUACGACGAGCGGCGAACGGGUGAGUAACACGUGGGUGACCUGCCCUCAGCUCUGGGAUAAGCCCGGGAAACUGGGUCUAAUACUGGAUAUGACUCCAUGACGCAUGUUGUGGGGUGGAAAGCCUUGUGCGGCUGAGGAUGGGCCCGCGGCCUAUCAGCUUGUUGGUGGGGNGAUGGCCUACCAAGGCGACGACGGUAGCCGGCCUGAGAGGGCGACCGGCCACACUGGGACUGAGACACGGCCCAGACUCCUACGGGAGGCAGCAGUGGGGAAUCUUGCGCAAUGGGCGAAAGCCUGACGCAGCGACGCCGCGUGA